UGUCCCAAGGUAUGUAAUAUUAAAGAAAUGUACCCUUUUAUCUUUACUUAAAGACAGCACGUAUCAUGUAAUGGAAAUUUUACAUAGUUUUUUUUUUAAAGCUGUCUUUACAUGUUAACUCAAUGUUUUUGAAGUUGAACUGGAUGUUAUUUUAAGCCUUAAAAAUAAAAUAUGCUUAGACCUUUUAGGAUGUUGUAUUGAACUUAGUUACCACAGUGAACUUUAAGGUCUAUUCACUUCCCGGUUUGCUCAUGGCUGACUUCAGUCCGGUUAGACUGUAUCCGGGUGCAAGGUAGUCAGACUGCACCUGGGUGAAAGGUCAUUCUAAUUGGUUGCGGGUCCCCUAGCGACCACAGUUCUUUUUAACAUGGCCUCUGUCUGAAUUCUCCGCAGUCCGUGGCACUUCAGGACCCCAAGAGAAACUGGAGCUGCAGCAGAAAGCUGGUAGAUAAUGCAACGAUGGACUGGGAACUCAUCUCGUCUUGGAAGUGGAAGUGGUGAUAUGGAGGCAUUCCAACUGACUCUGGGGUUUGAAAAACAGAAACAUGGCUGAGCAAAGCCACCAAUUAAAACAAACCCUUGUGAGCACUGUGGAAGAUGGUCAUUUUCAACACAUGGUGCUUAUAUUUACAACCACUGAUUUGUUGGUCCAUAAGCCCAAAAGGAGAAAUUGGGUCAACUUGAUGCAACUGGUAAAGAAAAAAAUGAGAGAAAGGGAGUACAAACAUGUCUGUGAUGUGGGCGUGUCAUUAUGGCUGGUGCACGUGCUGGGCUCAGGACACAAAAUGAGUAAGUCUUGGGUCCUUGGAUUCCCACAGCAGAAGCAAAGAAACCAGAUCAUGAUUCUUGGCUAUGCAAACCUGAGACUGACUCAUCCUCCAGCAGCCGACCGUGGACAUGUGCAGCAGUCACAGAGACAGAUGGCAUUUCAAUCACUUGGCCUACAUCUUCCUCCACUGUCACCACUGUGACAGAAAUGAGUUCCGUUUGCUCCAUUUUACAUGAGGGCAAAAGGCAGCAUUGACUCACGAAGUUUACACAGUCAGUGAGAAGAGCAACCAAGUCAGGAUCAGAUACAAAGAUGUUAUUGCAGAUGUUAAUUGGAACAUAGUUUUAGUCAUUUGAUAAAUAUUCAGUAAUUUAUUGUUUGUUAAGAAAAAUUAUCCAAAAUUCACAAAUAUAGAGGAAACAAAAUUUUACCUGUACCCUCUUUUCUUUUCUUUCUUUUUUUCCCCCUAGGACUGAUAAUUAAAUGACAAGAGACAGAUAAGACAGAUCAACAGGAGAAAAACAAAUUUACUUAGUACAAAACUUACAUGGCAGGGGAGACUACAUAAGGAAAUGCAGUUGUGAAAAUGUCACAAGGACAAGAAGCUUGGGCUCAGUAAGUAGUUAAUUGGGUGAAAAAGUGGAUAGGAAGGUAAGUUUAGUCUAGCAAGGCUUGUUUGUACAAAUUUCCCUUGGCCUCAACUUCCUAUCCUUGACGAUAAGAAAGAUGCUUUCCUUCUGAUAUAGGGAAGGCAUCUUUCACAUGUGAAUUUCGUCUCCACUUGUAAGAAAAAGGUCAGAGUGAUCAUCUCACACCUGUUGUUUUUCAGGUGCCCUAAACUCAAAAUAGUCAAUAUGCCAGAGUGGCCUGUUUUGGAGUGUUGUGCUAACUCUGCUAAGGUAGAGUUAUUCUGUCAGUGGUAUAUUGAAGCAUCAUAUAAAGCUUAUCUAAUUAUUUAGGGAAGUGGCUUUCAAACUUUGCAUCAUAUUGGAAACACCUGGGACGUUUGAAAACUAUGACUGUUUGGCUCCCACUCCUAGACAUCCUGAUUUAAUGGUUGGGGGUGAUGUGAUAGGCUGAACAAUAACCUCCCAAAGAUGCCCACAACCUAAUCCUCAGAACCUGUGAAUAUGUUCCCUUACAUAUAAGAGACUUUGCAGAUAUGAUUAAGUUAAGGAUCUGGAGAUGGGAAAAUAUCCUGGAUUAUCUGGAUGGGUCCAAGGUCAUCACAAUGGUUCUUACAAAAAGGAGGCUGGAGGGUCAGAGUCAGACAGAGAAGGCUUAAAGAUGAAAGUAGAGGUCAGAGAAGGGAGAGAAGACCCUGAACUUUUGCCUCAGAAGGAGAGAAAGGGGCCACAAGCGAAGGAAUGCAGGCAGUCUCUAGAAGGUGAAAAGGGCAAGGAAAGGAUUCUCCUCUACAGCCUCUAGAAGGAAGCAGCUCGUUGGACCCAUUUUAGACUUCUGACCUGCAAGAAAAUAAAGCUCGAUUGCUUUAAACCAUGACAUUUGUGGUAGUUUGUAACAGCAGCAAUAAGAAACUAAUACAUGUGGGAUCUUGGUGUCAGGAUUAAAAAUAAAACUCUGCAAGUGAUUUUAACAUGCAGAAAAGUUUGAGAACCCAUUGAUCUAAGGAAAUGUACUUGUGUUCAACUCUGUCAUUAACUUGGAUCAGAGCUAGACACUACUAUGAAGUUACAUGUUACUUUGUAGAUUUCUAUUUGGUAGAGAUGAUAACCUCAAUUUCAUGAUUGCGUUGCCUGUAGGACAUUAACAGUUUUGCAUCUAAUCCAGGAAUCUUAUUCUGGCACUUUUACCCCUAAAAUGCCUCUUAAUAUCCAGUUCCUCAAAAUGCUUUUGGAACCAGCAUUACCAUCAUACUGGUUCCCUCAAUGAGUUGAAUACAUUUUUGAUGCAUGUUUAUUCUAUAUUUAGAUGAGAGUCAUGUUUCUAACUCUUUGGAAAUACACUUUCACGUGUUCAAUAAGU
ensembl:lncRNA